rnacentral:ncRNA from 2 species
UAAAUACAGUGAUCGCUGAUAUGUAUAUCCUGGGGAUUGGCCCAGAGUUUCUACCGACUGCCGUAAGAGUUGACUACAUAGACAUUCGUUUGUUGU